rnacentral:rRNA from 1 species
CCUACGGGAGGCAGCAGUGAGGAAUAUUGGUCAAUGGACGGAAGUCUGAACCAGCCAUGCCGCGUGCAGGAAGACGGCUCUAUGAGUUGUAAACUGCUUUUGUACAAGGGUAAACCUGAAUACGUGUAUUCAGCUGAAAGUACUGUACGAAUAAGGAUCGGCUAACUCCGUGCCAGCAGCCGCGGUAAUACGGAGGAUCCAAGCGUUAUCCGGAUUUAUGGGGUUUAAAGGGUGCGUCGGCGGAUUGAUAAGGUAGAGGUGAAAUGUCCGAGCUUAACUCGGGAACUGCCUCUAAUACUGUUGAUCUAGAGAGUAGAUGCGGUAGGCGGAAUGUAUGGUGUAGCGGUGAAAUGCUUAGAGAUCAUACAGAACACCGAUUGCGAAGGCAGCUUACCAAUCUAUAUCUGACGUUGAGGCACGAAAGCGUGGGUAGCAAACAGGAUUAGAUACCCUAGUAGUC